CCUACGGGGGGCAGCAGUGAGGAAUAUUGGUCAAUGGCCGGAAGGCUGAACCAGCCAAGCCGCGUGAAGGACGAAGGUGCCAAGCAUUGUAAACUUCUUUUGUCAAGGGACAAAAUCAGGCUCGAGAGCCUGACCGAGGGUACUUGAAGAAAAAGCAUCGGCUAACUCCGUGCCAGCAGCCGCGGUAAUACGGAGGAUGCGAGCGUUAUCCGGAUUUAUUGGGUUUAAAGGGUGCGUAGGCGGACGGUUAAGCCAGUGGUAAAAGCCCGGGGCUCAACCCCGGCGAGCCGUUGAAACUGGCGGUCUUGAGAUGUCGGGAGGUAUGCGGAAUGCGCAGUGUAGCGGUGAAAUGCUUAGAUAUUGCGCAGAACUCCGAUUGCGAAGGCAGCAUACCGGCGGCGAUCUGACGCUGAGGCACGAAAGCGUGGGUAUCGAACAGGAUUAGAUACCCGAGUAGUC
rnacentral:rRNA from 1 species